ensembl:ncRNA T10B11.9 ncRNA
CGAGCUUAUAUGAUAAAUUAAUAGAUUUAUAAAAAAUAAAAUCUUUGGAAUUCAAAAAAUUUAAAAUACCAAGAAGUCUGUAAUUUUUCAAAAAACAAAGUUACAAAAAAUAGUAUACCUU